rfam:Schistosoma mansoni, Puerto Rico, WGS project CABG01000000 data, contig: 0138
AUCCAGCUGGCGAGUCCCAAAUAAGACGAAACGUGCGCCCUGGAU